rnacentral:rRNA from 1 species
AAUGAACGCUAGCUACAGGCUUAACACAUGCAAGUCGAGGGGCAGCAUGUCGGUUGCUUGCAACCGAUGAUGGCGACCGGCGCACGGGUGAGUAACGCGUAUCCAACCUACCCUUGUCCAUCGGAUAACACGUCGAAAGGCGGCCUAACACGAUAUGCGGUUCACAGCAGGCAUCUAACGGGAACGAAAUGUGAAGGAGAAGGAUGGGGAUGCGUCUGAUUAGCUUGUUGGCGGGGUAACGGCCCACCAAGGCUACGAUCAGUAGGGGUUCUGAGAGGAAGGUCCCCCACAUUGGAACUGAGACACGGUCCAAACUCCUACGGGAGGCAGCAGUGAGGAAUAUUGGUCAAUGGACGAGAGUCUGAACCAGCCAAGUAGCGUGCAGGAUGACGGCCCUAUGGGUUGUAAACUGCUUUUAUAGGGGGAUAAAGUGUGCCACGUGUGGCAUAUUGCAGGUACCCUAUGAAUAAGGACCGGCUAAUUCCGUGCCAGCCGCCGCGGUAACAC